AACAGCCAGAGAAUUGACCGGUGUUCUGGUCUGGGCGUCUGAGUUCUAUCGUGCGUUUUAUAAGUUGACCUUCACCGCCCUCGAGUUUAACGUCAAUCCCUGCUCCUCGGCUAGUUCAUAAAAAUCUUGUGAACCUACUGAACAAGUUUCAAGCAGUUCAUUCAUCCAGUAAUUCACCGUUUAACACGUAAUAACUUCCUUGCACUAGCUCCAAUUCUGUAAAUCAAGCCCGUCAAAAUGGUCUGGAUUACAGCUGAUGAUAAGAUGGAAGGUGAAUCUAGCUUACGAGUCCAGAACUCUGAAAAUCAUUUGGACCACAUCUGCAAGCUGGACAUUGGUGUCCCUGCGCCCUUUUACCGGCUCUCAGGAAUCAUAUGUACCAUCGGACCAGUCUCGCGAUCAGUUGAGAUGCUGGAGAAGAUGAUUGAGACCGGUAUGAACAUUGCGAGAAUGAAUUUCUCCCACGGUUCCCACGAGUACCAUGCUGAGACAAUUAAAAAUGUAAGACAAGCGCAGAAAAAUUUGUCCGAGCGCAACAAAAUGAACGUUCCAGUCGCUAUUGCUUUGGAUACUAAGGGUCCAGAAAUCCGAACUGGUCUCCUUGAAGGCGGUGGCUCAGCAGAAGUUGAAUUGAAGAAAGGACAAACAUUCAAACUUACCACAGACAAAGCUUUCGGUGAGAAAGGAAACGCUGAUGUCGUGUGGGUUGACUACGUAAAUAUCUCAAAGGUAUUGAAAGUCGGCAACCGUGUAUUUGUCGACGAUGGUCUCAUUUCUUUGAUAGUCACUGAAGUCGUUGCCGAUGGAAUCGUUACCAAAGUAGAAAACGGUGGAAUGCUAGGAUCACGUAAGGGUGUUAACCUUCCUGGAGUGCCUGUUGAUCUUCCAGCAGUAUCAGAGAAAGACAAGGCUGACUUGCAGUUUGGUGUUGAUCAGGAAGUAGACAUGAUCUUUGCUUCUUUCAUUCGUAAUGCUGCUGCGUUGACUGAAAUUCGCGGUAUUUUGGGUGAAAAAGGAAAAAACAUCAAAAUCAUCUCCAAGAUUGAGAAUCAGCAGGGUAUGAACAAUCUGGAUGAGAUCAUAGAGGCUUCCGAUGGAAUAAUGGUCGCUCGUGGUGAUUUGGGAAUUGAAAUUCCCCCGGAGAAAGUUUUCCUUGCCCAAAAGUGCAUGAUCAGUCGAUGCAACAAGGUAGGAAAACCUGUUAUCUGUGCCACGCAGAUGUUGGAGUCGAUGGUCAAGAAACCACGUGCAACACGAGCUGAGACAUCAGAUGUUGCCAACGCUAUUCUUGAUGGUGCUGAUUGUGUCAUGCUUUCAGGAGAGACGGCUAAGGGAGAUUAUCCUCUGGAGUGUGUUCGCAUAAUGGCCAACAUCUGCAAAGAAGCAGAGUCUGCCAUUUGGCACAAUCAGUUAUUUGCCGACUUGUCAUCCAAGGCAGUAGCGCCAAUUGACGCUACCCAUGCUGUAGCGAUCGCCGCAGUUGAAGCUUCUGCCAAAUGUUUGGCUACUGCAAUUAUUGUAAUUACAACAAGCGGUCGCUCAGCUCAUCUCAUCUCCAAGUACCGACCACGGUGCCCAAUAAUUGCCGUCACUAGGUACCAUCAAGUCGCACGACAAGCUCAUUUGUACCGUGGAAUUUUGCCUCUUCUUCACACUGAAGCACCUGUGGCUGAUUGGUUGAAGGACGUUGACGUUCGCGUCCAGUACGGUAUGACCUUUGGAAAAAGCCGUGGAUUCCUGAAGACCGGUGACACCGUUAUUGUAGUAACUGGAUGGCAACAAGGCUCCGGUUACACAAAUACACUUCGUAUUGUGUACGUAGAUGAGGAUUUAGCUUUUGACCAUACUCCAAGUCCAAUCGUCAGCGAUGAUGACUCCUAUGAAAACCUUUACUAGUUAUUUAGUGCAUGAUCCAGCAACGUAUCUUACUAACAACUCUGUCGUAUACUAAGUUUAACCGCAUUAACGUUGAUUGAGGAGAAAAGAAGAUGAUGAGUCAAGAAGAGAACACUUAAAGAGAAAAAAUAACAUAGAAAAUAAUUUAUGAUCUGCCAAUUCAAAUUAACUUUCUGAUUAUCAAUUAUUUUAUUUAAUUAUU